GGAGGGUGCAAGCGUUAAUCGGAAUUACUGGGCGUAAAGCGCGCGUAGGCGGUUAUAUAAGUCGGAUGUGAAAGCCCUGGGCUCAACCUGGGAACUGCAUUCGAUACUGUAUAACUAGAGUUUGGUAGAGGGAAGUGGAAUUCCACAUGUAGCGGUGAAAUGCGUAGAUAUGUGGAGGAACACCAGUGGCGAAGGCGACUUCCUGGACCAAAACUGACGCUGAGGUGCGAAAGCGUGGGUAGCAAACAGGGAUUAGAUACCCUGGUAGUCCACGCCGUAAACGAUGUCAACUAGCCCGUUGGGGGAAUUUGUCCCCUUAGUGGCGCAGCUAACGCGAUAAGUUGACCGCCUGGGGAGUACGGUCGCAAGAUUA
rnacentral:rRNA from 1 species